rnacentral:rRNA from 1 species
GACGAACGCUGGCGGCGUGCUUAACACAUGCAAGUCGAACGGGCCCGCUCUCUUUUUUGGGGGUGGGUUGAGUGGCGAACGGGUGAGUAUCACGUGAGUAACCUGCCCCCUGCUCCUGGAUAACUGCUUGAAAGGGCGGCUAAUACGGGGUGUGCCGGCUGGUCCGCAUGGGCCUGGUCGGGAUAGUUUCAUCUUCGGGUGUUUCGGUGGGGGAUGGGCUCGCGGCCUAUCAGCUUGUUGGUGGGGUGAUGGCCCACCAAGGCGGUGACGGGUAGCCGGCCUGAGAGGGUGGGCGGCCACACUGGGACUGAGACACGGCCCAGACUCCUGCGGGAGGCAGCAGUGGGGGGUAUUGCACAAUGGGCGGAAGCCUGAUGCAGCGACGGCGCGUGAGGGAUGGAGGCCUUCGGGUGGUGAACCUCUUUCUCCGGUGGUGAAGGCCCUGUCCGUUGCGGCGGGGUUGACGGUAGCCGGGUAUGAAGCGCCGGCUAACUACGUG